rnacentral:rRNA from 1 species
UGGGGAAUUUUCCGCAAUGGGCGAAAGCCUGACGGAGCAACGCCGCGUGAGGGAUGAAGGCCUCUGGGCUGUAAACCUCUUUUAUCAAGGAAGAAGAUGACGGUACUUGAUGAAUAAGCCACGGCUAAUUCCGUGCCAGCAGCCGCGGUAAUACGGGAGUGGCAAGCGUUAUCCGGAAUUAUUGGGCGUAAAGCGUCCGCAGGCGGCCCUUCAAGUCUGCUGUUAAAAAGUGGAGCUUAACUCCAUCAUGGCAGUGGAAACUGAGGGGCUUGAGUGUGGUAGGGGCAGAGGGAAUUCCCGGUGUAGCGGUGAAAUGCGUAGAUAUCGGGAAGAACACCAGUGGCGAAGGCGCUCUGCUGGGCCAUCACUGACGCUCAUGGACGAAAGCCAGGGGAGCGAAAGGGAUUAGAUACCCCUGUAGUCCUGGCCGUAAACGAUGAACACUAGGUGUCGGGGGAAUCGACCCCCUCGGUGUCGUAGCCAACGCGUUAAGUGUCCGCCUGGAGACAACCGACU